rnacentral:rRNA from 1 species
AUGAGCCGUAUGCAUCUUUCUGAUGCAGAGACUGGGGUAAACCCCCUUUUCGAAAAAAAAGAGGCGAAUGGGAGAGUACAAAGGGAUUCAUACCUGUCAGCACGUCCGCAGCCUAAGGCGACAGACAAACAGAAGAUGGCCCAUCGCAAAUGGACUUCCAACAUAAGCAACAGUGAGAUGCCGCCUCGCUGGUGGGCAACGCCUGAUCCGCAGCGCAUGUCCCGGCCUGGGCAAAAAAUGGCCACCAACGUCACCUCCUCCAAGCUUUGGCCACGGAUGGGCAAGCAAAUCAAUCUGGUAUAG